CCCUAAUGUGGGUGAUCGUCAUCCAGUCACGUGAAGGCCUGAACAGAACAAAAUUGACGUUUCUUCUACUACUAAAAGGGAACUCCUCCUGACUUACUUCCUGGAGUUGAGACAUUGGUCUUUUUCCUGUCUUCAGAAUUGAACUGAAACAUUGGCUCUUGGGUCUCGAGCUUGCUAUUUUUCAUGCUGGAAUACACCAUCAGCUCUCUUCCUUCUCAGACAUUUGGACUUGGUCUAGAACUUCACCACCUGCUCUCCUGGGUCUCCAGUUUACUGACCUCAGACCUUAGGACUUCUAACUAUCCAUGAUCAGCUUCCUGCCUUUUGAUCCACCUCCACGUGGCAGACGUCAGAAAAGUCACUCCCUUGGCUCACUCACAACGAGGCUACAGGCAUGGAACCUAGGCUCCCCAAGCACACGCAACCACAUGAGUCAUCAAACCAUACAUGAGCUAUGUGGCAAGGCAGAGCUGCAGGAAUUCCAUUCUGGGGGGAAAGGUAGCUGCUGAGAUGUCAUCUCCUGUGGUCAGAAGAUGAAGUCCUGGCAUCUCAAGUCCACAGGUCUUAUGCUGCUGCUGCUGCUGCUGCUGCU
ensembl:lncRNA